UACGGAGGGUGCGAGCGUUGUCCGGAAUCACUGGGCGUAAAGGGCGCGUAGGCGGUGGGGUAAGCGUGCGGUGAAAGCUCGGGGCUCAACCCCGAGUCGGCCGUGCGAACUGCUCGACUGGAGCAUGUCAGAGGCGAGUGGAAUUCCUGGUGUAGCGGUGAAAUGCGCAGAUAUCAGGAGGAACACCAAUUGCGAAGGCAGCUCGCUGGGACGUUACUGACGCUGAGACGCGAAAGCGUGGGGAGCAAACAGG
rnacentral:rRNA from 1 species